GCCCGGGUAGCUCAGAUGGUAGAGCAGCGGACUGAAAAUCCGUGUGUCGCUGGUUCAAUUCCGGCCCCGGGCACCA
rnacentral:tRNA from 1 species